AUGGAAUAGGACCCUGUCCUCCUAUUUUCAGUUGGUUUGCCGCGAGGACCAGGGUAAUGAUUAAUAGGGAUAGUUGGGGGCAUUAAUAUUUAAUUGUCAGAGGUGAAAUUCUUGGAUUUAUGAAAGAUUAACUUCUGCGAAAGCAUCUGCCAAGGAUGUUUUCAUUAAUCAAGAACGAAAGUUAGGGGAUCGAAGACGAUCAGAUACCGUCGUAGUCUUAACCAUAAACGAUGCCGACCAGCGAUUAGGAGACGUUGAAUACAAAACACCACCAUGCGCAUUGCGGUCGUCUUUGGUGUCGCUCACAAGGCGGCACCGGGGCGGCUUAGCUCGCAUGGCACCG
rnacentral:rRNA from 1 species